rnacentral:rRNA from 1 species
GUGAGUAACACGUAGGUAAUCUGCCGUAGWGMGGGGGAUAACCCAUGGAAACAYGGACUAAUACCGCAUAUWCUCUUGACACAUAAGYGUAGUAGAGGAAAGGAGUAAUCCGCUUUACGAUGAGCCUGCGGCCUAUUAGCCUGUUGGUGAGAUAAAAGCCCACCAAAGCUACGAUAGGUAGCCGACCUGAGAGGGUGACCGGCSACAUUGGGACUGAGAUACGGCCCAGACUCCUACGGGAGGCAGCAGCUGAGAAUCUUCCACAAUGGACGAAAGUCUGAUGGAGCGACAUCGCGUGAGGGAUGAAGGCCUUCGGGUUGUAAACCUUGGAAAUUAUCGAAGAAUGAGUGACAGUAGAUAAUGUAAGCCUCGGCUAACUACGUGCCAGCAGCCGCGGUAAUACGUAGGAGGCAAACGUUGCUCGGAUUUACUGGGCGUAAAGGGUGAGUAGGCGGAACUAUAAGUCUAAGGUGAAAUAUCGAAGCUCAACUUCGGAAACGCCUCGGAUACUGUGGUU